GUAGGUGAACCUGCGGAAGGAUCAUUCAUAAUAAGUGUUUUAUGGCACUUUUUUAAAUCCAUAUCCACCUUGUGUGCAAUGUCAGGGUUGAUUUUUCUCUCGAGAGGAUCAGCCCCAAACAUCAACUAUAUCUCAACUCUUUGUCUGAAAAAUAUUAUGAAUAAAACAACUCAAAAUACAACUUUCAACAACGGAUCUCUUGGCUCUC
rnacentral:misc_RNA from 1 species